rnacentral:rRNA from 1 species
AGAACGAACGCUGGCGGCAUGCCUAAUACAUGCAAGUCGAACGAACACUUCGGUGUUAGUGGCGCACGGGUGCGUAACGCGUGGGAAUCUGCCCUUGGGUUCGGAAUAACAGUUGGAAACGACUGCUAAUACCGGAUGAUAUCGAAAGAUCAAAGAUUUAUCGCCCAGGGAUGAGCCCGCGUAGGAUUAGCUAGUUGGUGAGGUAAAGGCUCACCAAGGCGACGAUCCUUAGCUGGUCUGAGAGGAUGAUCAGCCACACUGGGACUGAGACACGGCCCAGACUCCUACGGGAGGCAGCAGUAGGGAAUAUGGACAAUGGGCGCAAGCCUGAUCCAGCAAUGCCGCGUGAGUGAUGAAGGCCUUAGGGUUGUAAAGCUCUUUUACCCGAGAUGAUAAUGAACAGUAUCGGGAGAAUAAGCCCCGGUACUAACUCCGUGCCAGCCAGCCGC